GACCUCGUAGCUCAGUUGGCAGAGCAUUGGACUAGUGUCCCAAAGGUCGGGGGUUCGAUUCCCACCGGCGUUG
rnacentral:tRNA from 1 species